GUCCAAGGCCAUACCACCCUGAACGCACCAGAUCUCACCUGAUCUCAGAAGCUAAGCAGGGUCGUUUGCACUUGGAUGGGAGACAAUGCAGAUGAAAAGUUUCUUUUAAGC
rnacentral:rRNA from 1 species